UCCCUUGUAGCUCAGUUGGUAAAGAAUCUGCCUCCAAUGCAGGAGAUCCGGGUUUGAUCCCUGGAUUGGGAA
rfam:TPA: Bos taurus chromosome 10, whole genome shotgun sequence.